GAACGCAGCAAAAUGCGAUAAGUAAUGUGAAUUGCAGAAUUCAGUGAAUCAUCGAAUCUUUGAACGCACAUUGCGCCCGCCAGUAUUCUGGCGGGCAUGCCUGUUCGAGCGUCAUUUCAACCCUCAAGCUCAGCUUGGUGUUGGGACUCGCGGUAACCCGCGUUCCCCAAAUCGAUUGGCGGUCACGUCGAGCUUCCAUAGCGUAGUAAUCAUACACCUCGUUACUGGUAAUCGUCGCGGCCACGCCGUUAAACCCCAACUUCUGAAUGUUGACCUCGGAUCAGGUAGGAAUACCCGCUGAACUUAAGCAUAUCAAUAAGCGGAGGA
rnacentral:rRNA from 1 species